rnacentral:rRNA from 1 species
UACGUUCCCGGGCCUUGUACACACCGCCCGUCACACCACGAAAGUCGGCAACACCCGAAGCCGGUGGCCUAUCCCGUAAGGGGAGGAGCCGUCGAAGGUGGGGUCGGUGAUUGGGGUG